CAAAUGCUAUGAUUUUGGAAUAUUUUGUCCAGUUUUACAUAGGAAAUUGCCUGGAGUCUGAGGGCUUUGAGUACAUUCUGGGGCCCUUCGACAGUCACAAGGUUCUAAAGAAUACCACAUUUUGCGUGGUUUAAGAAGCUUCAUCUGGGGAAGAGAAACAUAGACAAAGGUACAUCAGAGUCUAUGGGAGCAACACUCCACUGUGUGACCAUCACAACGUGCUAGGAAAAAUGUGGAGCCUCUUAGAAGAGUUAAUUUUUUAUUAUAAUGGCUUCCCAGUCCGAUUAUAACAGUAAUUUCUUGUUCCUACAUGAAAGCUUUGGCAAAGAUUCAGAAAGAGCUGGGCUGCUAAUAGGAAGAUAUGGUGGAGGACAUGAAAGUUUGCAACAUCUCAUUUCUUGAAUUAUGUACAUUGUGUUGUCACUGCCUAGAAGUUUGCAGGAUCUGUCCUCAUUUUUGGUGAGAAGUGACAAUUAGUACAGAGACCAACAUCAAACUCAGCUUGAAAACCUUCUUAUACUUAUGUUUUAAACAACCGGCAGAGAUGAAAAUACAUCUGGCUUGUGGGCUAUGGAUGCUGCUUAGUAUUUCCACUGCAAAUGCCAUCUGGUGCCACGAAUGUGAUAAAUUAAAUUUAUUAGAGAUAUGUCCUGCGAAUCAUGAAUUCUGUUGGGCAGGUGAAAAAGAAGGAUGCUACAUUAAGAAGCAGUACUACAACAAUGUCUUCCUUGGAAGGGUUCUGUUCCAGUCUGAAGCGGGUUGCUUAUUGAAUUGCGUUAGCAUAAAAACACAUCAAAAAACACAACUAGAGCUCACUUGCUGUUUCACUGACUAUUGCAAUGAAUGAGUUUGGAAGAGCAGAUGAGCAUGGAACAUGAAAGUUCUGGCUGCCAAGACAUCAGAAGCAUUGUGCUGCUUUUGCUCCUCUCACUUUUAUUCCACUGCAAGAAGAAUAUGUAGACAAUGUAAUCAGCCCAAAUGAGCAAUGUACUGUAUUCUUUUCCACAUAUUUUGUAGUCAGAAUCAAAACAAAAUCUUUGAAACCAAAUGUGAGAGGAUGGAGGAAGAAUCGUUUUAUUCCCCCCCCCCCCCAGAUAUAUAUGCUUAUAGUACAACUAUCUAAUUCAAACCACUGAUCACUUCUGAGUAGAAGGCUUUUCCACAGAAAACAGCACCAAUUCGUAAUGGCUGGUUUUCUCGCCAGUAUCUGUUCCCAUGUAUCUGUGCAUGGAAAGGAGAAGCAUGAUAAUCCCUCGAAAUGACUCCAUGCCUCUGCUUCUCUCCUCAUGUUGUGGGCUGCAAAACUGUGCUUCAACUGAGUCUGAAACCAUCAAUUUGGAAUAAAAAUCUUUUUCUCAAGUCA